CAUGCAGUCGAGCGGAACGAGAAUAGCUUGCUAUUCGGNGUCGAGCGGCGGACGGGUGAGUNAUGCUUGGGAAUAUGCCUUUGAGUGGGGGACAACAGUUGGAAACGACUGCUAAUACCGCAUAACGUCUACGGACCAAAGGGGGGGACGCUUCGGCACCUCUCGCUCAUUGAUUAGCCCAAGUGAGAUUAGCUAGUUGGUAAGGUAAUGGCUUACCAAGGCGACGAUCUCUAGCUGGUUUGAGAGGAUGAUCAGCCACACUGGGACUGAGACACGGCCCAGACUCCUACGGGAGGCAGCAGUGGGGAAUAUUGCACAAUGGGCGAAAGCCUGAUGCAGCCAUGCCGCGUGUGUGAAGAAGGCCUUCGGGUUGUAAAGCACUUUCAGCGAGGAGGAAAGGUUAGUAGUUAAUAACUGCUAGCUGUGACGUUACUCGCAGAAGAAGCACCGGCUAACUUCGUGCCAGCAGCCGCGGUAAUACGAGGGGUGCAAGCGUUAAUCGGAAUUACUGGGCGUAAAGCGUGCGUAGGUGGUUUGUUAAGCAAGAUGUGAAAGCCCUGGGCUCAACCUGGGAACUGNNUUUUGAACUGGCAAGCUAGAGUUUUGUAGAGGGUAGUGGAAUUUCCAGUGUAGCGGUGAAAUGCGUAGAGAUUGGAAGGAACAUCAGUGGCGAAGGCGGCUACCUGGACAAAGACUGACACUGAGGCACGAAAGCGUGGGGAGCAAACAGGAUUANAUACCCUGGUAGUCCACCCCGUAAACGAUGUCAACUAGCCGUCUGUAGACUUGAUCUGUGG
rnacentral:rRNA from 1 species